rnacentral:misc_RNA from 1 species
CAAAUACCCAAUUUUCCGGUGGUGGCCGGAGGUCUAGUUCCGGCGCCGUAUCUAUGUCUUCCAGCUCUGUCGGUUCACGUACAUCCGAUCGUCUUCCUCAUUCACCUAGCACAUCUACUUACUCCUCAACAACUACUACAAUUUCUCAAAAGUCAAAUUCCGGCAGGAAUCCGGUCAUAAUCGCCGUCAAAUCCGUCGUAGAAGCUUUUGCGUCAUGUUUUACUCCGCCGGAGCCUAAAUCUUCGAGUACUAAUUUUGGUGAUUCCGAUUCGUUUAAAGCUCCUUCAGUUGCAUCUGAUGGCGGAAGGAAGAAGAGACACAGUAGCAGUAGCAGUAGAGGUCGAAGCAUCUAUGGCAGUGAAAAUAAUUCAACUCACACAAAAGAGGCAGGGAGUAUUAAAUUCAACAUGGAAGAUAUCUAUAAGGCCACAAAGAACUUUUCCCCAAGCCUUAAAAUUGGUCAAGGAGGUUUCGGGAUAGUUUACAAGGGUUGCCUAACGGAUGGAACAGUUGUUGCAAUCAAACGCGCCAAAAAGAAUAUACAUGAUAAACACUCGGGAGCUGAAUUUCGAAGCGAGGUUCGAACUUUAGAAAAAAUAGAACAUCUAAAUUUAGUAAAGUUUUAUGGGUUCUUGGAGCAUGGAG